UACAGGGGGGGCAAGCGUUGUUCGGAAUUACUGGGCGUAAAGCGUGCGCAGGCGGUCUGUUAAGACCGAUGUGAAAUCCCCGGGCUUAACCUGGGAACUGCAUUGGUGACUGGCAGGCUUUGAGUGUGGCAGAGGGAGGUAGAAUUCCACGUGUAGCAGUGAAAUGCGUAGAGAUGUGGAGGAAUACCGAUGGCGAAGGCAGCCUCCUGGGCCAACACUGACGCUCAUGCACGAAAGCGUGGGGAGCAAACAGG
rnacentral:rRNA from 1 species